UGAAAGAAAUCAUCAUUACAAGAAGGGAUUAGAUGUGUUUCCACCCUUGAAUCCUUGCUUGAAUGCCUCUUUGAUCCUCUGAAAUAGCCGUCAAAAAUCAGUUCUUGAUCCAAUAUUUCGUAGCCCUAAAAUGAGAAACUGUUUUCAAUUUAUAGUGCAGAAUUCAUGUCAAGCCAGGCUUGGCUCUGCCCAAGCUGGGCGCAGAAGGCAGAGAGCAAUUCUUCAAUUUUCAAGCUGGGCUCAGCUGCCCCUAAGCUAGGCGCAGAAGGCAGAAGCUAGGCAAUUUUUUUAUUUUUUCUUGUUAUCAUGCUAUCUCAUAUUUCAUGCAAUUUCUUCUUAUUUAAUUGCUAAAAACAUGGUAAAAACCUACUUGUUUGCUUGCAUUUGCUAAAAAAAAACAUAGUAAUGACAUGAAGUCAUCACAACCCCAAACUUGAAUUUUUCCUUGUCCUCAAGGAAUAUCUUCAUCCAUCGGAAAACCUGACACUAUCAAACAGUCUAAUUCAAAGCCAUCAAAGUCAGUCAAGUUAGAACAUCACAAUUAACAUUUCAAUGAUCAUCCCUAUCAUGAAUUUACUUGCACACAGAUUAAUACCGAAAAAUCAAGAACUUUUCACAAAUAUUGACCAAACCAUAAUUACUUCACUCCCUCACAUUCUCUCCUGUUUAAAUUGGUGUAUUCACUCAAUCAACACAAACAUAGUCAUUCUACCAUAAGCUUGCAAACAUUCUAACAAUCGAUCAACAUGCAUAAGAAUUCACACCUUUUGAGGACUUGAAGGUUAUAACGGGGAUAAGGUUUUAGGGUGGAUAUUUUGGAUGGUAAGCAGAAAAACUUGGAGUUUUAAAGAUCACUCAUUUAACAAAGAAUUAGAUUAUUCAAACAUCCCCAAAAUUCAAACAUCAUCAUACUAGAGAAUUUAUUUGUCAAACUUUUCUUUCUUUUUCAUUUUUUUUUUUUGCGGAGAGAUUCAUUAGCAUUUCUUUAUUUGGUGUUUUGUUUUUGUUAUUUUUUUUUAUAAACACCAUUUUUUUUCACAAGGUAAUGCCUCUCCCUACUGUCUUAUAUUUCUCUUUUUUUUUUAUUAUUUUUUUAUUUUUAUUUUUUUGAUAAAUUCUCUAGUACCCCACCCCAAACUUAAUCAGUUGCAAAUACCAAAAGCAACCCCAAACUUAAUGAUGAGCAAUAUGCUCUAAUCAUAAGUUAAGUGAUCUAACUCCAAGAAAAUCAUCUUUUUUUUUUAAUAUGUUUUCAAACUUGGGUUAUCAAACAAAGAAUAUUUUUCUUUCGGCUCAACGGGGUUAACAAAGGAUAUAAGAUAAGGAAUGGUGGCUUCAAAAAGGCUCAAGGUACAAACAACAUGCCUCAAUGUGUAAUUCAAAGCAAUCAAUCAAUUAAAAGAACAUAAGCAAGUUCUAGAGAAUUAGCUAAGUUGUGGAAUCUCUCAUGACAAGAAAAUUUAUGUGUUUGGGCUCGAANNNNNNNNNNNNNNNNNNNNNNNNNNNNNNNNNNNNNNNNNNNAAAUCUCACGGCUUGGCCGGAUUAUCGAGUGGUCAAUGUUUGAGAAAUUUCCUCAACUUUUCUAAUUAUCAUCAAAUAUGACAAGCAAUCAAACAAGUGAAUCACAAAUUCAUGUAUCAUAGAUGCUAACGUAGAUGACUUUUAAUGGCAUUUAAACAAAACUAUUCGAACAAUGCACAAGUUUUCAAAUAGACAAAAACAUUCAUAAAAGACAAAAUUAAAUUCAAGUUCAAGGGAAGUGAUACUAACCAACAGUAGAGCAGUCAAAAGUGGGAAGAACCACCCCUUUUUUUUUAACAUUGACGCGGGGAUCCGUAAGGCUUGAGUUGGGCGCAACACCUAAUUUUUUUUUCUCAUUUUUUUUUGAAACUCCACUCUACUCCUUUGCUUAACCUGCAAGCACAAACAAAUUUAGCAAAAACCAGAUGUUAAUAAACAAAAUCUUAGGUUGCCUCCCAAGCAGCGCUCGUUUAACGUCUUGAGCUUGACGCACCAUCAUCCAAGUUAGGGAGGAUACUUCAAAU
rnacentral:lncRNA from 1 species